GAUGAACGCUAGCUACAGGCUUAACACAUGCAAGUCGAGGGGAAACGACAUCGAAAGCUUGCUUUUGAUGGGCGUCGACCGGCGCACGGGUGAGUAACGCGUAUCCAACCUGCCCACCACUUGGGGAUAACCUUGCGAAAGUAAGACUAAUACCCAAUGAUAUCUCUAGAAGACAUCUGAAAGAGAUUAAAGAUUUAUCGGUUAUGGAUGGGGAUGCGUCUGAUUAGCUUGUUGGCGGGGUAACGGCCCACCAAGGCUACGAUCAGUAGGGGUUCUGAGAGGAAGGUCCCCCACAUUGGAACUGAGACACGGUCCAAACUCCUACGGGAGGCAGCAGUGAGGAAUAUUGGUCAAUGGACGAGAGUCUGAACCAGCCAAGUAGCGUGCAGGAUGACGGCCCUAUGGGUUGUAAACUGCUUUUAUAAGGGAAUAAAGUGAGUCUCGUGAGACUUUUUGCAUGUACCUUAUGAAUAAGGACCGGCUAAUUCCGUGCCAGCAGCCGCCGCCG
rnacentral:rRNA from 1 species